GAUGAACGCUGGCGGCGUGCCUAAUACAUGCAAGUCGAGCGAACGGACGAGAAGCUUGCUUCUCUGAUGUUAGCGGCGGACGGGUGAGUAACACGUGGAUAACCUACCUAUAAGACUGGGAUAACUUCGGGAAACCGUAGCUAAUACCGGAUAAUAUUUUGAACCGCAUGGUUCAAAAGUGAAAGACGGUCUUGCUGUCACUUAUAGAUGGAUCCGCGCUGCAUUAGCUAGUUGGUAAGGUAACGGCUUACCAAGGCAACGAUGCAUAGCCGACCUGAGAGGGUGAUCGGCCACACUGGAACUGAGACACGGUCCAGACUCCUACGGGAGGCAGCAGUAGGGAAUCUUCCGCAAUGGGCGAAAGCCUGACGGAGCAACGCCGCGUAAGUGAUGAAGGUCUUCGGAUCGUAAAACUCUGUUAUUAGGGAAGAACAUAUGUGUAAGUAACUGUGCGCAUCUUGACGGUACCUAAUCAGAAAGCCACGGCUAACUACGUG
rnacentral:rRNA from 1 species